UACACGCCCUAAAUCACAUUCUUCCUCUUUUUCCUCUUUGCAUUCAAUAACCCAGACGUUUCUCUUCUCCUUCCGAAUAAAAUGUAAUAAUUUUUGUCAUUCAAUGGACAGCCGUUUCUCUUCUCCUUUCUCUUUAGAUAGAUUAUGAUAUAGACUAUCAGAGACUCUAUUUUCCUCUCUCAAGAUGCAUAUUUAAUUAGGAUGUUCAAACCUUCCAAGCUCCAAUUCUACUCUCAUGGUUGCUUUUACUAGAGCUAUUUGUCGUCCAGGACCAGGAUUGUUCAGAUGGAAGUGUUGCCACCUGCGCUUGGCUCUACAUCAGAAUCACCCUGUAUUUUCGAUGGAGCAACAAGGAUUGAACAUAUACAAAAGAAAGCACAUUAAAGAGUUGGAACCAACUCAUGGGUAAAGUAGGGCGCUUGCUAUCCUGGACCAGCUCUUUGAUAUGCCAAUUGAAGUCGGCGAUUAUGGAUCCUGUCAUCCUUCAAUGUGUACAUUCGAAGAAGGUUGGGAAGUUGCAGAGGUGCUUGAUCGAUAUAUUUGAGAGAUUCAGGAGCAGAAGAUGGUGUGCAAAUGGAAUUCCUAUUUGUUAUUGUUUUAAUGUAGGUGUAUUUUGUGCCUUAAAAAUCAUAUGAAGUGUAUAGGCUAUACACUUUAGAACGUGCAUAAAUGAGCCUUAUGGUAGUGCAAAGACUUUGAGAACUCUUGCUUAUUUUUGGAAUGUAUACAACAGUUUCCAUUCUUCAAAGUAUCAGAAUAACUAUGAUAACUAAUAAUUCUAACAUUUUUUUUUGUUCGUAAAA